CCUACGGGGUGCAGCAGUCGAGAAUCAUUCACAAUGGGGGAAACCCUGAUGGUGCGACGCCGCGUGGGGGAAUGAAGGUCUUCGGAUUGUAAACCCCUGUCAUGUGGGAGCAAAUUACCAAGAUAGUACCACAAUAGGAAUAGACCGCUAACUCUGUCCCAGCAGCCGCGGUAAUACAGAUGUCUCAAGCGUUGUUCGGAAGCACUGGGCGUAAAGCGUGCGUAGGCUGUUUGGUAAGUCGUGUGUGAACGGCGAGGGCUCAACCCGCGCACUGCACAGGAUACUGCGCGACUGGAGUGAUGGAGAGGGAAGCGGAAGUCGGGGUGUAGCGGUGAAAUGCGUAGAUAGCGAGAGGAACACUGGUGGCGAAGGCGGGUUACGGGACAUUAACUGACGCUGAGGCACGAAGGCGAGGGGAGCGAAAGGGAUUAGAUACCCCUGUAGUC
rnacentral:rRNA from 1 species